GUGCAGGACAACAGAUCCAGGCCGUAGAGCCGGCCUCAUGGGGCCGUGCGCUAGUGGUUUGGUGGGCGUUCCUGCCGCGUGGAUCUGAGCUGGAGGGCCGCCCACGGUCUCGUCCGGGCUAAGGCGGCCUGGCUGCUGCCGCCAUCAAGCAGUGACCCUUGGCCUUGGUGAAGCUGUCUGGAUAGAACAAGCCAGGAGCAUAGACCAUGUUUUCCGAGCAGGCUGCCCAGAGAGCCCACACUCUGCUGUCCCCACCAUCAUCCAACAAUGCCACCUUUGCCCGGGUGCCUGUGGCAACCUACACCAACUCCUCGCAACCCUUCCGGCUGGGGGAACGCAAUUUUAGCCGGCAGUACGCCCACAUUUAUGCCACCCGCCUCAUCCAAAUGAGACCUUUCCUGGUGAACCAGGCCAAGCAGUACUGGGGCAGUGGAGUCGAAGUAAAGAAGCUGUGUGAGCUGCAGCCUGGGGAAAAGUGCUGUGUGGUGGGGACUCUGUUCAAGGCCAUGCAGCUCCAGCCAUCCAUCCUGCGAGAGAUCAGUGAGGAGCACAACCUGCUCCCCCAGCCUCCGCGAAGCAAGUAUAUCCACCCAGAUGAUGAGCUAGUCUUAGAAGAUGAAUUGCAGCGUAUCAAACUGAAAGGCACCAUUGAUGUGUCAAAGUUGGUCACAGGAACAGUCCUGGCUGUACUUGGCUCCGUAAGAGAAGAUGGGAAGUUUCUUGUGGAGGACCACUGCUUUGCUGACCUUGCUCCACAGAAGCCCAUGCCCACCCGCGACACAGACCAGUUUGUGCUGCUGGUAUCAGGUCUGGGCCUGGGUGGAGGUGGAGGCGAGAGCCUACUGGGCACCCAGCUGCUGGUAGACGUGGUGACAGGGCAGCUUGGGGAUGAAGGGGAGCAGUGCAGCGCUGCCCACGUGUCUCGGGUCAUCCUUGCUGGCAACCUCCUCAGCCACAACACCCAGAGCAGAGAUUCUAUCAAUAAGGCCAAGUACCUCACCAAGAAAACCCAGGCAGCCAGCGUGGAGGCUGUGAAGAUGCUGGAUGAGAUCCUUCUGCAGCUGAGCGCCUCAGUGCCUGUGGAUGUGAUGCCAGGUGAAUUUGAUCCUACCAACUACACACUCCCCCAGCAGCCCCUCCACCCCUGCAUGUUCCCACUGGCUACUGCCUACUCCACGCUUCAGUUGGUCACCAACCCUUACCAGGCCACCAUCGAUGGAGUCAGAUUCCUAGGGACAUCUGGACAGAAUGUUAGUGACAUUUUUCGAUAUAGCAGCAUGGAGGAUCACUUGGAUAUCCUUGAGUGGACCCUGCGGGUUGGUCACAUCAGCCCCACAGCCCCUGACACCCUAGCUUUGCUGAGACCUAAGAAGCUGAGAAGCUGGAUGUCUGUUCUGGAAGCUACUCUGGAAUCUUAAUUCUGUCUAUGGCCAAGGCAUGCUCAGGGCUGAAGGCCAUGGGAGUGUAUUGGAAGCCUGGCUGACCAGAGCACAGCACCCUCACCCAAGGCCCACCCUGAAGGGCACAGGCAGCAGGAGUGAGCUGACCUGUUCCUGGAGUCAUGUGGCAAUGUCUGGAGGUGCUUUUGUUGUCACAGCUGGGGGUGCUGCUACUGGCACACAGUGGGAAAGGAAAGGAUGCUGGUCCACAUGGUGUGUAAGGCCCUGGUGGGACUGCCCAGCCCAUGUCCUGGUGCUGAGGCUGAGGAACCCUGCUCAGCAAUAGGCCCUUCUCCUCCAGGUUGCUACCCCUUCUACAAAACUGACCCGUUCAUCUUUUUGGAGUGCCCUCAUGUCUACUUUUGUGGCAACACCCCCAGCUUUGGCUCCAAAAUCAUCCAAGGCCCUGAGGACCAGAGAGUGCUGUUGGUGACUGUCCCCGACUUCAGU